GAUGGUCACAUGGCCUUGAUCUGGCCAAUCAGCAUUUUCCAUCCUCCCUGGCCACUGUGAUUGGCUCAGGGCUGGGCACCAGCCCAAUCAGGCUCCACGGAGGUCAGGCCUAGUUGCUGGAAUCCUGGGAGCAGAGAAGUUCUAUUUCAGUUGGGAGUUGAGGGGUGGUGAUGUCAGCCUGUGGCAGUUGGUGACUAUCUUGCUCUCGUAAAGGCAGAGCCAUGUGAAGAUGACAACAGUGGCAGAGCCCAGAGGUGGGGAAGGAUGACUUCUGCUGAUGUCACUGAGCACCAGGUACAGCUCUGCCUGAAGCUAUCUCCCUGUGGAUGUCUCAGUUAGGCUGUCUGCUGCAUGAGAAUGGAGACCUGCCUGCUUCACUCCCUGCUGUGCCCGGUAUAUGGAACCCGCCCAACACACAGUAGGACCUCAGCGAAUGUGUGACGUGUGUGUGAUCACUGUAGGCCACAGACAAAGGUCUUCCCAGCAGUGAUGAAACCCUGUGACAGAUCCUGUCCACAGCACCCUGCUCCUCCGAUCCUGACCCCAGGCUUUCCCAUGGGGUGUGACCCCGCAUGGGGUGCAGUCCCCUCCUCCAGUCUGACGUCAGUAAUCUUGGACCCGUUCUUGGAGCAGAGAAUUGAGUACCUUCCUAAAGUGCACGUUGACACUCCAUAUGUUUCUGCCAGUAUCAGCGAGGUUCAAUAUGUCUCAUGAAUGUCUUUUGAGCCUGGUAUUCUCAACAGAAGUCUCCAUGCCAGUAUUCUCCAUUGUAGCAGAACAACUCUCAUCAAUGUGUUCGCAUCUCACCUCAAUUUGUGCAGCCAGCUUUUCUGCCAACUUCCUUCAUGUCUCCUAUAAAGUCAAAUUCUAAAGGACAGGGCAAGUCUGAAAGUACCUCGGAGCCUCACCUGUAAGCUGAUGACAGGCAGAUCUUCCACUAUCUGCCCUUUCAGAUUCUGGAAACUGACCCGUGAACUCAGGCCAUUGCGCAGCACGAGUAUCUCGAACUUACACAGAUUCCAGAAAAAGAGACUUAAGCCAAGCUCCAUAGAGGGCGGUACCGCCUCCAUGACACUGAUCCACCCACAGAAUUCUGCCCAGUUACCUUGGAUCCACCAGCCACAACAAUCCUGGCAGAACACACCAAGAUUCCACCUGGAAUCCAACCGGUAACUGCCAUCCCCAAUGGUUGCUGCAUCUUGUCAGUGUUGGGGGAGGGGCUGCAUCAGACGAGAGGUUCCAAAGGUUUUCUGAGGCCUCAUCCUGUCUUUGGAAGUAACAGACCACACUUCGGAAAGUGUCCUGUGCCAAGGGCUGGACGUCAGGAAUCUUGGACUCGUUCUUGGAGCAGAUAAUCGAGUAACUUUCUCAAGGGCAAGUUGACUCUCCUUAUGUUUCUUCCAGUAUCACCGAGGUACAGUAGUUCUCAUGAAUGUCUUUCGAGCCUGGUAUGCUCUAGAGAUGUCUCCAAGCCGAUAAUCUCCACUGUAGCAGAACAACUUUCAUCAAUGUGUUCGCACAUCUCCUCAAUCCAUGCAGCCAGUUUUUCUGCCAGCUUCUCUUCGUGUCUCCAAUAAAGUCGACGUCCACAGGACUGGGCAAGUCUGAAAAUACCUCAGAGCCUCACCAUUAAGCUGAUGACAGGCAGAUCUUCCACUGUCUGCCCUUUCAGAUUCUGGGAACUGACCUGUGAACUCAGCUCUCUGGGCAGCAGCAGUAUCUCGAACUUAAACAGCUUCCCGUACAAAAGACCUAAGCCAAUCUCCACAUAGAGCAGCAGACCCACCAUCAAACUGAUCCACCCACAGAAUUCUGCCCAGUUACCUUGGAUCCACCAGCCGCAAAACGCCUCGUGAUACACACCAACAUUCCACCUGGAAUCCAACCGACGUCAGGAAUAUUGGACCCGUUCUUGGAGCAGAGAAUCGAGUAACUUUCUCAAGGGCACGUUGACUCUCCGUAUGUUUCUUCCAGUAUCACCGAGGUUCAGUAGGUCUCAUGAAUGUCUUUCGAGCCUGGUAUGCUCUAGAGAUGUCUCCAAGCCGAUAAUCUCCACUGUAGCAGAACAACUUUCAUCAAUGUGUUCGCACAUCUCCUCAAUCCAU